GCUGCCACAGUACUCCCUUAAAAAGCCAAGAAAGGAAAUUUCAGACUGGCCAAAAAGACUUUUUGAUAAAUUAAUAGUCAUACCAAACUGUUUAAGACGAGAGAAAAGAAUUUCAAGAUGUUCAAAGUGUUCUUCAACAUUAUUAGAGGCUAUUAAAAUGUCAUCUAAAUAGCAAAAACAGAAGUCUAAGCCAGCAAGAAUAAUAUUCAUAAGACGUUGAAAAGUCUGAGCAGCAUUACAUAGUCCGAAAGGCAUGACAAGAAAUUCAAAAAGACCGAAAGGAGUGGUUACAGCCGUCUUAGGUAUAUCUUCAGCAGCAACAGGAACUUGAUAAUAAGCCUUGACCAAGUCAAUUUUAGAAAAUAUAUUCUUACCAUGUAAUCCCAUUGUUAAAUCUUGAAUAUGUGGGAGAGGGUAACGGGACCAUGUGCAGUGGAGAAGACCAACAGCUACUAGAAGGCCUACAAAUACCUUGCUCAAUCAUAAGGUUAAAUUCUUCACGAGCAAAUUUAAGCUUCUCAGGAGAAAGUCUUCGUGGAGUAACAGAAAUAGGAGGUCCUCUUGUAACAAUAUGAUGUUCAACUUGAUGUAACUUGUUGGAAGUCAAAGGUGCAAAAUGCGUUAAUUCAGGAAAUCUUGCAAGGAUUUUAUGGUAAGGUAUUAAUCCUGGAUCCAUUAGCAGCAAACAGUUUAAAAGAUGAAGAAGAUUGAGAAAACUGAGCUAAUCUUUUAGGAAUCAAUGAAAUGUCAGCUCCGGUAUCGACAAGAAAAUUGAGUAAUGAAGUUUUAUCAGUAACAAUGAGGCGACUACAAGGUAAACCGUCACAAUCUGCCUCAUGACUCAACGGCAAAAUCAGUUUUCCGGAUUUGCAGUAAAAGCUUUAGACAUAGCACAAGAUCUCGAUCUGCUUCUAUAGCGUUUAACUUCUAAAGCGGAAAUUCUACGCUCCAAAUCAGCUAAACUAGAGGAACCAGAUUCAGGUGUAGAAGUUACAGCGGCAAUUUGUAAGCCCGAAUCUCUCUCCAAAAUUUUAUCAGCUAAUUCAGCAAGCUUGAUUAAAGGAGCUUCAUCAACAACAGCUAAAGUAGCUUGAACUCUAAGAGAAUCAGAAAAUCGAUUUAUAAGUACAUUUUUUAAAUAAAGAUAUUUAUCUCGCUCUGGAGGAUUUUCAACGAUCUCAGCAACAGCUACUAAAGCUUGUUCAUCAAGAAGCAGAUGUUCUUGAGGUUGUUCAGUCGAUGUCCCAGGAGAAGACACAGGAGAACGUUCAACAGGCAUCUCGAAGAAAGAUUUCAAAUUUCGUGCACGACAAUCGUCAGGAGAGCCAAAACGUAAACACGAUUCUUUGACAGGCUUGUCUUUUCUAUCACGUCGGGGUCACCAGUUAUGGGAAUGAUUUCCCUAAUUUAUCUUAUACUUAUGAAAUAAAUAGACUUUGUAAAGUUAUACGUGUUUACUAAUAUCAAGCUUACAAAAGAAUAAAUAAUUUCUUUUUUUUAAUAAACAACAUUCCUUUUUUUUAGUAUCUAAGAAACAUAAAUUGCUUGAAAUUAGUUUGAUAACAAAUAAAUAAAGAAACUAGAAAAUAACUAAAAAUGGGGAAUAAAUCGCAAGGGCUGCCACAGUACUCCCUCCCCAGCGACGUUCUACGUUGCGAAACGAACUUUCUUCUUGGGACCACAGUAUGUUCUUAAAGGUCGAGAAGGCAAAACUGAAGGAAUGGAUGAAGUGGCAGGAAAAGAAACAGCAAGAUGAUCCAGAGGAAUUUCCUUGGGUAAAAAGGCUGGUUUGAGACGUUCCGUGGAGACGUUAACAAUUUUACCUGCAAUAUCAAUAGUAAAAAGGAUCCGCAGGCAAAUCUUCAUCAAUGAAAAAUUCUCCAGGUAAACGAAGAGUAGAUCCAUAAAGCAUUUCAGCAGGAGAAGCUUGUAAAUCUUCUUUAAAACAAGUCCGAAGUCCAAGUAAAACGGAGGAAUUCCAUUAGAAGCAGGAUGAUAAGCAGAAGUUCUGACACGCUCACAGCCAAUAAGAUUAGUAAGAGCUUUAAAUAAAGCAGCUUCAAAUUGAGGACCUUGGUCCGUAGUGACUGUAAAUGGAGCACCGUAUCUUGCAACCCAGUGUGAAUAAAAGGCCGUAGAAACAAUAUCAGCAGUGACUUCAGAUAAAGGAACAGCUUCAGGCCAUCUGGAGAACCGAUCAAUCAUAGUAAGACAAUACCGAAAACCUUGACAGACAGGAAGAGGUCCAAUUAAAUCAAGAUGUAUAUGUUGAAAACGUUGAUCUGGAACAGAAAUCUUGACAGGCCAAACAAAUUUUUGUUGAAUUUGUUUUAAAGUCGCUCUACCACUAGGAUGAGCCAAACCGUGAACAAUAUCAAAAAUUCUUCUUCGUAAACGUAAAGGAACAUAAGGACGAAUAUUCUCAGUGGAACAAUCACAAAAUAUAGGUGAAAUUGAACCAUUAGCAAGAUCUUCAAGAGAAACAAUGACAGGCAAAGAAAUAGCAUUAAUUCUUGAAAAUAAAUCAGCAACAAUAUUAUCUCUUCCAGAAAUAUGUCUGAUGUCAGUGGAAAAUUGUGCAAUAAAAUCCAGUUGACGAAUUUGCCGAGGAGAAGCUUUAUCCAUCUUCUGAUGAAAGGCAAAUAUUAAAGAGAAAAAGGCAAUCGGUUUGGAAAUCCCAUCAAUAAUUUGUUCCAAGGCCGCUCCAAUAGCAAAAUCAGAAGCAUCACAAGAAAGAAUAAGAGGAACUGCAGGAACAGGAUGAGUCAAAGUAGUAAUCUUGGCUUGAUUCCUUGAUUAGAAAUUAAAAAGCCAAGAAAGGAAAUUUCAGACUGGCCAAAAAGACUUUUUGAUAAAUUAAUAGUCAUACCAAACUGUUUAAGACGAGAGAAAAGAAUUUCAAGAUGUUCAAAGUGUUCUUCAACAUUAUUAGAGGCUAUUAAAAUGUCAUCUAAAUAGCAAAAACAGAAGUCUAAGCCAGCAAGAAUAAUAUUCAUAAGACGUUGAAAAGUCUGAGCAGCAUUACAUAGUCCGAAAGGCAUGACAAGAAAUUCAAAAAGACCGAAAGGAGUGGUUACAGCCGUCUUAGGGACCAUGUGCAGUGGAGAAGACCAACAGCUACUAGAAGGCCUACAAAUACCUUGCUCAAUCAUAAGGUUAAAUUCUUCACGAGCAAAUUUAAGCUUCUCAGGAGAAAGUCUUCGUGGAGUAACAGAAAUAGGAGGUCCUCUUGUAACAAUAUGAUGUUCAACUUGAUGUAACUUGUUGGAAGUCAAAGGUGCAAAAUGCGUUAAUUCAGGAAAUCUUGCAAGGAUUUUAUGGUAAGGUAUUAAUCCUGGAUCCAUUAGCAGCAAACAGUUUAAAAGAUGAAGAAGAUUGAGAAAACUGAGCUAAUCUUUUAGGAAUCAAUGAAAUGUCAGCUCCGGUAUCGACAAGAAAAUUGAGUAAUGAAGUUUUAUCAGUAACAAUGAGGCGACUACAAGGUAAACCGUCACAAUCUGCCUCAUGACUCAACGGCAAAAUCAGUUUUCCGGAUUUGCAGUAAAAGCUUUAGACAUAGCACAAGAUCUCGAUCUGCUUCUAUAGCGUUUAACUUCUAAAGCGGAAAUUCUACGCUCCAAAUCAGCUAAACUAGAGGAACCAGAUUCAGGUGUAGAAGUUACAGCGGCAAUUUGUAAGCCCGAAUCUCUCUCCAAAAUUUUAUCAGCUAAUUCAGCAAGCUUGAUUAAAGGAGCUUCAUCAACAACAGCUAAAGUAGCUUGAACUCUAAGAGAAUCAGAAAAUCGAUUUAUAAGUACAUUUUUUAAAUAAAGAUAUUUAUCUCGCUCUGGAGGAUUUUCAACGAUCUCAGCAACAGCUACUAAAGCUUGUUCAUCAAGAAGCAGAUGUUCUUGAGGUUGUUCAGUCGAUGUCCCAGGAGAAGACACAGGAGAACGUUCAACAGGCAUCUCGAAGAAAGAUUUCAAAUUUCGUGCACGACAAUCGUCAGGAGAGCCAAAACGUAAACACGAUUCUUUGACAGGCUUGUCUUUUCUAUCACGUCGGGGUCACCAGUUAUGGGAAUGAUUUCCCUAAUUUAUCUUAUACUUAUGAAAUAAAUAGACUUUGUAAAGUUAUACGUGUUUACUAAUAUCAAGCUUACAAAAGAAUAAAUAAUUUCUUUUUUUUAAUAAACAACAUUCCUUUUUUUUAGUAUCUAAGAAACAUAAAUUGCUUGAAAUUAGUUUGAUAACAAAUAAAUAAAGAAACUAGAAAAUAACUAAAAAUGGGGAAUAAAUCGCAAGGGCUGCCACAGUGGAGAACCGAUCAAUCAUAGUAAGACAAUACCGAAAACCUUGACAGACAGGAAGAGGUCCAAUUAAAUCAAGAUGUAUAUGUUGAAAACGUUGAUCUGGAACAGAAAUCUUGACAGGCCAAACAAAUUUUUGUUGAAUUUGUUUUAAAGUCGCUCUACCACUAGGAUGAGCCAAACCGUGAACAAUAUCAAAAAUUCUUCUUCGUAAACGUAAAGGAACAUAAGGACGAAUAUUCUCAGUGGAACAAUCACAAAAUAUAGGUGAAAUUGAACCAUUAGCAAGAUCUUCAAGAGAAACAAUGACAGGCAAAGAAAUAGCAUUAAUUCUUGAAAAUAAAUCAGCAACAAUAUUAUCUCUUCCAGAAAUAUGUCUGAUGUCAGUGGAAAAUUGUGCAAUAAAAUCCAGUUGACGAAUUUGCCGAGGAGAAGCUUUAUCCAUCUUCUGAUGAAAGGCAAAUAUUAAAGAGAAAAAGGCAAUCGGUUUGGAAAUCCCAUCAAUAAUUUGUUCCAAGGCCGCUCCAAUAGCAAAAUCAGAAGCAUCACAAGAAAGAAUAAGAGGAACUGCAGGAACAGGAUGAGUCAAAGUAGUAAUCUUGGCUUGAUUCCUUGAUUAGAAAUUAAAAAGCCAAGAAAGGAAAUUUCAGACUGGCCAAAAAGACUUUUUGAUAAAUUAAUAGUCAUACCAAACUGUUUAAGACGAGAGAAAAGAAUUUCAAGAUGUUCAAAGUGUUCUUCAACAUUAUUAGAGGCUAUUAAAAUGUCAUCUAAAUAGCAAAAACAGAAGUCUAAGCCAGCAAGAAUAAUAUUCAUAAGACGUUGAAAAGUCUGAGCAGCAUUACAUAGUCCGAAAGGCAUGACAAGAAAUUCAAAAAGACCGAAAGGAGUGGUUACAGCCGUCUUAGGGACCAUGUGCAGUGGAGAAGACCAACAGCUACUAGAAGGCCUACAAAUACCUUGCUCAAUCAUAAGGUUAAAUUCUUCACGAGCAAAUUUAAGCUUCUCAGGAGAAAGUCUUCGUGGAGUAACAGAAAUAGGAGGUCCUCUUGUAACAAUAUGAUGUUCAACUUGAUGUAACUUGUUGGAAGUCAAAGGUGCAAAAUGCGUUAAUUCAGGAAAUCUUGCAAGGAUUUUAUGGUAAGGUAUUAAUCCUGGAUCCAUUAGCAGCAAACAGUUUAAAAGAUGAAGAAGAUUGAGAAAACUGAGCUAAUCUUUUAGGAAUCAAUGAAAUGUCAGCUCCGGUAUCGACAAGAAAAUUGAGUAAUGAAGUUUUAUCAGUAACAAUGAGGCGACUACAAGGUAAACCGUCACAAUCUGCCUCAUGACUCAACGGCAAAAUCAGUUUUCCGGAUUUGCAGUAAAAGCUUUAGACAUAGCACAAGAUCUCGAUCUGCUUCUAUAGCGUUUAACUUCUAAAGCGGAAAUUCUACGCUCCAAAUCAGCUAAACUAGAGGAACCAGAUUCAGGUGUAGAAGUUACAGCGGCAAUUUGUAAGCCCGAAUCUCUCUCCAAAAUUUUAUCAGCUAAUUCAGCAAGCUUGAUUAAAGGAGCUUCAUCAACAACAGCUAAAGUAGCUUGAACUCUAAGAGAAUCAGAAAAUCGAUUUAUAAGUACAUUUUUUAAAUAAAGAUAUUUAUCUCGCUCUGGAGGAUUUUCAACGAUCUCAGCAACAGCUACUAAAGCUUGUUCAUCAAGGAAAGGCGUGGGAGUAUAUCAUAUCACAUUCUAGCCUACAGAUACGGUGGGCACCAUCUCGUAUUGAGGCCUCAGUCGUGCCGAAUCGAUUUCCACUAUGCC